rnacentral:rRNA from 1 species
GACGAACGCUGGCGGCGUGCUUAACACAUGCAAGUCGAACGGAAAGGCCCUGCUCUUGUGGGGUGCUCGAGUGGCGAACGGGUGAGUAACACGUGAGUAACCUGCCCUUGACUUUGGGAUAACUUCAGGAAACUGGGGCUAAUACCGGAUAGGAGCUCCUGCUGCAUGGUGGGGGUUGGAAAGAGCCGGCGGUAGGGGCUGGACUCGCGGCUAAUCAGCUUGUUGGUGGGGUAGUGGCUUACCAAGGGUUUGACGGGUAGCCGGCCUGAGAGGGUGACCGGCCACAUUGGGCCUGAGAUACGGCCCAGACGCCUACGGGAGGCAGCAGUGGGGAGUAUUGCGCAAUGGGCGGAAGCCUGAUGCAGCAACGCCGCGUGCGUGAUGACGGCCUUCGGGUUGUAAACCGCUUUCGCCUGUGACGAAGCGUGAGUGACGGUAAUGGGUAAAGAAGCACCGGCUAACUACGUG